rnacentral:lncRNA from 1 species
GGAAUGAAUAGCAAGCAGGCCUCCCUUCAUGUUCCUGCUCCAGCUCCUCUCCUGACUUCUGCCCAUGAUGAACUGUCAUCUAUAAGCUUAAAUAAGCCCUUCCUUCCUGUCAUGAGUAGGAUGCAGGAAAACUGAUGCAAAACUCCUGCCUUCCUGGAUAAAGGGAGGAGGCUAGGGAGACUGAUGAAAUUCACAAGAAACCUAACAAGACACAAGAGGCCCUUCCCUCAGGUUAUAUGAGCAGCAAACAGUAGCAGCAAUGUUCUGCCUCUACUUAGGCUCAAACACGAUGGAACCAGCCAACCACAGACUGAGACCAACGUACCAGAACAUGUGACACAAAUCCCAGGGCCACAAGAACAGAGGGGUCAGGCCAGUCUGCAGAGGCCAGGGAUUUGGAGAGCCAGGCCCAGAAUGUACUUCCUCUCAAAGCACUUCAAAAAAGUCUUGGAUCUAAGUGCCUUUCAAAGCCACCACAAGGACUAGUUAGAAUGGGAUGGGGGCAGUUCAGUCAACAUAGGAGAGGCCAAGGCUAGACAGUGAUGUGAGCUUCCUAAUCAGUUCCUACCUGGGACCUAAAGUUCGAAAGUGACAUCUCUCGCCCUACCUAAUCAUGAAUCUUCUUUGGACUGUGUUCUCUGAGGACCUCAAGGUCUGUCCAGGACUUGGCCCUGAGAUCAUCAAAGCCACAUUUUUACAGAUAGCCAAGUUUACAGAUGUUUCCCUGAUCACUACGAGCUUUGCUGCAAUAACCUCAGGUUGCUUCCCACUGACAAGCAUCCUUUUCCCAAGUUCAUGCUGAAGAAGAGCUGUCUAGAAGAUGAGCAGCUCCAGAGGACAAGGAGAGGGCAGGCACCCUCUGAAGGAGUAAGUGUUGUCAUCAGUCAGUAAGGAUGGCUUAACAAAGGGCAGUGCUCUCCACAUAGAGUAAGGUUCAGGAAAGGGAAGCUGGGUGUCAGGUGCCAAGGGAAAUGGAAGGACCUCGGAGCUUAUUUAUGGAUGGACACAGUGUGUUUACGUUUUUUGGCAGAGCUGUGAGGCCUCCCCACCCCCACCCCAAGGACUCAGGAAUGCGUCUGCUGACCUUCAAGCUGAGAUGAAGGCAUGGGUGGGUCAAUUCAUCUUAGAGAAAUGCCUGCCCAUUCCAAAGUUAAGUACAGUCUUUCCCCAAAGCAAGAAAAGUUUGACAACUGGGAGGGAAACACAAUGAUCCCAAGGCUGCAAAAGAGGAGUAACAACCCCUACAGCAACCUACUUCAAUCUAUAGAAUUUCAUUCAUGUUCACAAAAAUGACAAGGUGCAAGGUCAGUAGUUCCUUUUUUUGAGAGAGAGAGAGUUAACCGGUUAGCCUGGCAGUGGUGGUACACUCCUUUAAUCCCAGCGCUCAGGAGGCAGAAGCAGGCAGGCAGGCAGAAGGAUCUCUGCUGUGAGUUCCAGGCCAGCCUGGUCUACAGAUCAAGUUCCAGGACAGCCAGCACUAUGAAAAAAAAAGCAAACAAAAACAAACAAACAAACAAAAAACCUGUCUUAAAAAACUAAAAAAAAAGAAAAUAGUUAAGGAUUAAACAGUUUUCUGAUGGUCAACAAAUUUAGUGUCAGAUCUGGGAUUCAUAGGCAAGGUUCCAUUUCUUCCCAGGAUACAAGAUAUUGUAUGUUUUAUAUGCCUAAUCCUCUCCUGGAUCCUGCAAGAAUGUUUUAUUACCUUUGUUUAAACGUGGAAAAAUGAAGAGACUGAGCAACAGACCUGAGGCUACAACUUGUUCCUUCGGGAAACGUUAGGCUUCCCUGGUGCCGAGCACUGGUGACUCAGAUGCCAAGUGGAGCAAGCAUGAUUUGCAGAAACACCUAAAGGUCUUAGCCAAAAGAAUUCAUAUUUCAAAGGGGAAAAAAGCGGAAACAUAGUUCAGUGAAUCGUUGGGUUUUCUGUGCUAACAGGCUGAAUUCCAUGUAAAAUGUGGGGUGGGGUGGUUAGUAAUAGCUUGGAAAGAUUACAGAUGUACAUAGGCUUGUUUUAUUAAUUAAGCAAGCCUGGAUGCUAUGCUAGUUGCAGGAAAUGCAUGCCCUGGAGGAGACUUUCAAAAGGAAUCUUUGGAUUUAUGUGUAAUAUGACAGAGAACUCCGGAAGAUGGGAGGCAGGAUGCACUGUCCAUCUCUGUGACAGGGCCUAGAAUCCAGUUCCUUAUAAAUGACUUUUACAACCAGUACUAUCCCCAGCCACACACCAGCUGGGUGAUGUGGAAAAGAUAUGGGAAGUCAUUAUAAUGAAAAAAAAAAAAAAAAAAAAACCUCUGGACAUACUCACUUGCAAUAACCUGCCGCAGCAUUGUAUCCUCACACCCCGCUCUGAGGUCUGGGGGCCAGGCAGGCUUGCCAGCUCACUGUUUGCACCAAGUCCCUGCCUGCCCCAGCUGCUGCAGCCACCUCUUCCUGCUGAGCUGCUGAUGCUGCUGGGGCCUGAAGUCCCCCUCCAGCUGGAAGCUGCCCUGGCUGACCCUCAGCUGCCCUGUCCAUGUGUGUUCUAGAGACUAG